UACGGGGGGGGCAAGCGUUGUUCGGAAUUACUGGGCGUAAAGGGCGCGUAGGCGGCCUGCUAAGUCGAACGUGAAAUCCCCGGGCUCAACCCGGGAACUGCGUCCGAUACUGGUUGGCUUGAAUUCGGGAGAGGGAUGUGGAAUUCCUGGUGUAGCGGUGAAAUGCGCAGAUAUCAGGAGGAACAUCGGUGGCGAAGGCGGCAUCCUGGACCGAUAUUGACGCUGAGGCGCGAAAGCCAGGGGAGCAAACGGG
rnacentral:rRNA from 1 species